GGGCCAGUGUGGUACAGUGGUUUGAGCAUUGGACUACAACUCGGGGAGACCAGGGUUCAAAUCCCUGCUGGGCCA